ACCAAUCGUUAGGGGUGCCGUUGUGCUGAGAUUAUACCCUAUGAACCUGAGAUGUGUAAUUACAGCGGAGGAAAACGAGACUUGUAACUA
rnacentral:ncRNA from 2 species